CGGGUGAGUAACGCGUAGGUAAUCUAUCCUUACAUUUGGGAUAACAUUGGGAAACUGGUGCUAAUACCGAAUGGUCUUCUUUGCUGCGGGGCGAAGGAGUAAAGGUGGCCUCUUCAUGAAAGCUACCGUGUAGGGAUUAGCCUGCGUACCAUUAGCUAGUAGGUGGGGUAACGGCCCACCUAGGCUACGAUGGUUAGCGGGUCUGAGAGGAUGAUCCGCCACACUGGAACUGAAACACGGACCAG
rnacentral:rRNA from 1 species